GUGUCCGUGGCGCAAUCGGUUAGCGCGUUCGACUGUUAUCCGAAAGGCUGGUGGUUCGACCCCACCCGGGGACG
rnacentral:tRNA from 1 species